AUGGACUCCAAUAGAGCUCUAGGUCCAGACAACAUCCCGGUAGAAUUCCACCCAUGUUGUUGGAAUAUGGUGAAAGAGGAUAUUAUGCGACUUUCUGAUAUUUUUCAUAAAGGGGCACUUUAUGUUCAGCACCUAAAUUAUGGAAUCAUCACCUUGUUGCCUAAAAUUUCUUGAGCCGAUAGGAUUCAGCAAUUUCGUCCCAUUUUCCUCCUUAGAUGCCCAUACAAGCUCCUUACAUAAGCCCUUAUGGUCGUGUCGCCAAAUAUGCCAAUAAGUUGA
rnacentral:rRNA from 1 species